GCCGAAAUGUUCGUUGAAGUUUUUCCAUGGGGUGUCACGGAAGAAACCUGAACAAACUUUUUGGC
ensembl:miRNA